GAUGUGGCGGCGUGCUAUAAUGCAAGUCGAACGAAACUUCUUUAUCACCGAGUGCUUGCACUCACCGAUAAAGAGUUGAGUGGCGAACGGGUGAGUAACACGUGGGCAACCUGCCCAAAAGAGGGGGAUAACACUUGGAAACAGGUGCUAAUACCGCAUAACCAUAGUUACCGCAUGGUAACUAUGUAAAAGGUGGCUAUACUACCGCUUUUGGAUGGGCCCGCGGCGCAUUAGCUAGUUGGUAGGGUAAAGGCUUACCAAGGCAAUGAUGCGUAGCCGAAUUGAGAGGUUGAUCGGCCACAUUGGGACUGAGACACGGCCCAAACUCCUACGGGAGGCAGCAGUAGGGAAUCUUCCACAAUGGGCGAAAGCCUGAUGGAGCAACGCCGCGUGGGUGAAGAAGGUCUUCGGAUCGUAAAACCCUGUUGUUAGAGAAGAAAGUGCGUGAGAGUAACUGUUCACGUUUCGACGGUAUCUAACCAGAAAGCCACGGCUAACUACGUGCCAGCAGCCGCGGUAAUACGUAGGUGGCAAGCGUUAUCCGGAUUUAUUGGGCGUAAAGGGAACGCAGGCGGUCUUUUAAGUCUGAUGUGAAAGCCUUCGGCUUAACCGGAGUAGUGCAUUGGAAACUGGGAGACUUGAGUGCAGAAGAGGAGAGUGGAAUUUAUA
rnacentral:rRNA from 1 species